rnacentral:rRNA from 1 species
AACGCGAAGAACCUUACCUAGAUUUGACAUGCUGGGAAAAGCCACAGAGAUGUGGUGUCCUUCGGGGCCCAGCACAGGUGGUGCAUGGCUGUCGUCAGCUCGUGUCGUGAGAUGUUGGGUUAAGUCCCGCAACGAGCGCAACCCUUGUUCUAUGUUGCCAGCACGUAAUGGUGGGGACUCGUAGAAGACUGCCGGGGUCAACUCGGAGGAAGGUGGGGACGACGUCAAGUCAUCAUGCCCCUUACGUCUAGGGCUGCACACAUGCUACAAUGGGCGGUACAGAGGGCUGCUAAACCGCGAGGUGGAGCCAAUCCCUAAAACCGCUCUCAGUUCAGAUUGCAGGCUGCAACUCGCCUGCAUGAAGUUGGAGUUGCUAGUAAUCCCGGAUCAGCACUGCCGGGGUGAAUACGUUCCCGGGCCUUGUACACACCGACAUA